rnacentral:lncRNA from 1 species
CUCACAGAAGCCUUUAUUAAUGAAGUCACAACACCAAUAUUUACCGUCUGCAGGGAGAGGCACAACACGGGGGGGUGGAUGGGAGUGCGGUGGGGACUCCCGCCCCACCCCUCGCAGGCCUGGCCUAGGAAGAUUGGCAGGUUUCCUUGGGUCCUUUCCAGCCCUUUAUCUGGAUGGCAGGGGCUGCUCUGCUGUGAUCCUCAUGCACCCCCUCCCCCACCAAGUGAGAGAAUCUUGAGAGGAACAGCUCACCCAUUCCUCUGCCCCCGCCGGUGCCAAAAGAAUGCCUCUCCUUCUCGACCUCACCCUCCCUGUGUGUGCACGCUCCCCAGGGGUUAUCCACCUGCUUGGCAGUGAGAGAAUGCACCUUGAAGUUAGGACGUUCAACAUGUGAGGAAUGUGUUUCCUGGUUGAUGGGGAGGGGGGGCAUUGGGAUGGGAGAAGCCCUUUGGUUUCUAGCAUUGACUGGACCCAAGUGAGAUGCUGACAGUCCCAGCAAAAGGGCCUUCUGGGCUCGGAUCCCUGUGUGCCCCAGGCAUCAAGUCUUCAACAUUGACAUCAACAUUGAUCAAGCCCCCAGCACAUUCCAGGAGCCAAGAGAAGCAUUAAGUAAAGGCACAGCACAGGCAAAACCCAUGGCUCACUGGGGGACAGGAAUGACAUGGGCAAGACUGAAGCAGAGGACACCAGGAGUGAGGUAGGAGAGGCCAAGGUGGGAAAGAAGUAGGGGGUAGAGUGGAGGGCUUAGGAAGGGUGUGACACAGUCCUGCUUGGGUUCAAGGAAGAGAAACCUAGCCACUCUAUGGAGGUCCUCCUUUGAAGGGGCCUCAUCUUUGACACCCACACAAACCUCAUUCUGUCUACCACUCCUUCCCUCCCCUCCCAACCCCCCAAGAGCCAUGCACAUUGCUUCCCAAGGGAGAAGAAACCUUGGCCCCGAGGUGGGCAGUCCUGGAGGAGAAUGGAUGGGGAGAUGAGUCAGCUGUGUAUGUGUUGGGUUCGAGGGGCCGAAGGCCUGAGUGCAGCAGAUGUGGGCAGCUGGCUCAGUGGGUCUGCAGCUCGGCAUAGGUCUGCUGGAAGGAGUCCAGGGAGCCAGGAGAAGUCCUGGACGUGGAUGUGUGGCCCGGGAGGGCACAGUGAAGAGGCAGGAGGUGCAAGGACUGCCCCUAUGGUGGGCAGGGGCAAUGAGGCCAGGAUGAGAUGGGAGGACUCGGAGAGGCCAGAGGUGACAGUGUGAGAAGUACUGGGACUAAGGCAGGGAGGGGUGCGGGAGGGAAUGGCCAGAAGAUCGGAGGCAUGUAGGUGAAGCCAAACAGGAAGCAGCUGAGUUUGGCCCCCAGGGGUGGUGAUGAUUGGUGACUGGUGAGGUGAUUGGCAUUAGUGGAGAGUUGGGGAGCACGUGGGAGGUAAAGAAGUGAAGACAGGUCUGGAUGUCAUAAGGGAGAGGUUGUUAGGAAUACAGGUUUUGCUUUUAAGGAAAGGCAAGGGGAUGAGCAGAAGGGCUGGUGAACUAAAAGCUCAGUUGGGCCCUGCCUUGUUGCUCUUUCCUGACUAGAGACCCUGCGU